GAAGUGCAAUGGAAGUCAUCACCUCAAGUUGAGCUAUUUGGUGUGGCUGCAACAAGGUACCCUGGGGUACCUGUUGUUGUUGAGGCCAUUGACCCAGUUGUUGUUGUUGAGGUUGUUGGAAAGAACACUGUCCGAGCUGCUUCUGUUGUUGUUGGGGUUGGGAGACACCUUGGACCGACUGUUGGGGUUGUUGCUGCUGAGGUUGGUUCAAACCCUGACCAUGUUGUUGUUCUUGUAGGACGAUCGAGUAGAUGAUGGCACGGAUUGCAUCGUAGCGUGAUUGUUCGGGGAUUUGCGGCAGCUGCCGGCAACAUUGUUGCUGCAUCACAUGGCAACUACUCUGCCACAACAUUUGCGACCUAGCAAGACUUUGUGGCAUUGCCACAGGGCUGCAUUGCUGCUGGAGGAAUACCUUGCAUGGGUUUAGCUGCUGCAAGAUAGAUGGCUGAACAGAUGGUAUUUGUUGUUGCGGUAGAACUGGUUGUUGGUGUUGUGAAAAUGGUGGUUGUUGCAGUAGAAUUGGUUGUUGUUGUUGCUGCGAAAAUGGUGGUUGUUGCUGCUGCUGAGAAAAUGGUGGUUGUUGCUGCGAAAAUGGUGGUUGUUGCGGUAAAAGUGGUUGUUGUUGCUGCGGAAAUUGUUGUUGUUGCUGCGAAAAUGGUGGUUGUUGCGGUAGAAUGGGUUGUUGUUGCUGCGAAAAUGGUGGUUGUUGUUGUGAAAAUGGUGGUUGUUGUUGCUGCGAUAAUGGUGGUUGUUGUUGCUGUGAACAUGGUGGCUGUUGUGGAAAUGGUUGUGGUUGUUGUUGGAUGGGUUGUUGUUGUUGGUACCAUAAUAUUUGUUGUAGUGGUAAUGGUUGUUGUUGCAAUGGUUUCUCCAAGCUAGGGAUGUGGCUAGUCUCCAUUUGUGCAAUGGCACUUGUCGCCGCAACGGCGAGGAGGGCAAAGAUGAGGAAGGUCUUCAUGGUGGAUUGGUGUUAAAUAGUGUUGCUUGGUUUUGAUGCUUGUGCUUGUGAUGAUCAUUAUACUUCAUGCCUAUUUAUAGUAGCCCGUGCACCAUCUCUUUCCUUCUUUGCAUCAGCUUUAAUAAUUGUGUUUGGAUGUUUCUGAAAUGGAUUUUUGGUACAUUAUGGUAGGUUGCACUAGCUAUAAGCGUACUUUUGGAUUGAUCAUCAAAGUUGCUUUUUGGUUGUGCAUAUGAUUAUACACAAAGUACAUGAUGUUUGAAGUAGAUGACUUGCCUUAUUCACUUUACAUGUCACGCAUUUAUCAGGAUAGUAUCACUUCUACACCCGAUUUGGGAAAAAGUACAUAAUCUUUGCUAUAGAUAACUUGCCUUAUUCGCUUUACAUGUCAUGCACUUAUCAGGAUAUUAUCACUUUUACACCCGAUUUUGGAACCUUGUAUAGGGUGUCAGCCUUAAACAAGAAAAGGAAAAACUUGUGUAGGACUAAGUUGCAAUCAUGUGUGGGUUGUUAGGAUAUGCUCCAUUAUUAAAGCCUUACAUGUGGAGGGUUCUUCUAGACUCGAUUGUUUUUUAUAGAACUAACUAUGUAUUGUCCUUUAAGAUGAUAAGAUAAACUGACACCUAUAGAGCAUGACAUGACUCAUCGAAUUCCCUUUACAUGUAAAGGAUUGUAAUUGCUUACAAGUCACUAACAUAUAUCCGGUCCUAACUCUAGACACAUCAUCAUUAGUUUGAUCUUUGUGUUAAGGAUUUUUAUUUGAUCAGAUCAUUCUUUUGGCGGACUAAGUUUGCAAUAUUGUGUAAAUAUUUCACGGGGUGCACCUGGUCUCUUUUACUAAAUCUUUGGGGCAGGAGGUUGAUAUUUAUUUGAAUUGUGUAGAACAUUUACAUAGGUAACCUACUAGAAUUAUUAUAUGUUCAUUAUACUAUGACGACAAACAUAUAUAGUUUGGUUUACUGUGGUUCAUGUUUAGGUGUAUAAGAAUGAAUUUAUGUAUAUCGAGGUACUUUAUCAACCCAAAAUGAAAAAUGCCAAACAUUUUAACAUUUUUCAUCAACAAACCUUUAGAACCCCUAUUCGCGGCUAUCCUCCUAGAUCAUGGACAACCAGCAUAUUUCAUUUGUAGGAUUUUGACAAGGUCUUGAUUCUCUCCCACAUAAAAUGUUCUAGAUUGUUUCAUGGCAACUUGUUUGUGCCCGGAUAUUUUCAAUCUUCUUAUCUAGGCCAUACAUAUGUUUUUCUGUCAUUAAUCUAUUAACUGCUGAAUGAAGAGGUCCCAAAUGAUAAAGAAAAACUAUGUUAGGAGUAUGGGCAUCUCCACCACUUGUUUCAAUAAAACCAGAGGAUUUUAUGAUUAUGAAUUUGGUUCGAAAUAUGUUAAUGAUAUGUGCACUCGAUCUGAGCCAAUAUCCGAUGAAUUGAAAAGUGUUAAAUGGCCCAUGGAUAAAUUUAUAUUUGUUCACAAGUAUCAGAAAUCUGGAAUGGUGACACUACAUAUUCAAUUCAAAUUUGAAAAUACAUCUGAUCCCAGCUACGGAGGUCGCCAUGUGCCUCAAAGGAGUCUCCAUCGCAACUCUGGUCGUCUGCAAUUACACUAGAUGGCAGGCUAGUCUGUCAUCCAUCGUGGGAAUCCGCCGACAGGGCAGGUCAGAGGUCCUGUGGUUGCAACUAGCAGGUUAUUCAUCCAAUCUAUGUCCGUCAGUUAGUGCUCGAUCCUGCAGUAAAUGGUACUUGUAUGGAUAUAUAGUUGCAGAGAGGAAUUUCUUUGACUAGUGUUCGAUCUGAUUGCUAGCUGGAUUGGUGGAGAAAUUGCUACUUCCUCGUGCUAGGGCAGCAGUGGACAAUUAGUACAGACAGACCUGGCAAAAAAAUCCAAUGCGUAUAUUAAGUGGAGAUAGUACUAGAUCUGAUGUCUGCAGGAGAUACUAGUAGAUGUUAUACUGCACACUGGCACAGUAUGAGGUCAUUAUGUUGUUCUGUACAAAGUCUGUCACUUAGAUGUACAUAUAUGAGUGACAACCGCAUAUAUAUUUCUUGCAAAAUCCAUGCUUCCUUGCAGGUGGAAGGCCCUCAUGGUGCCCCCGAGACAGAGCCUGUUCCCUAUUUGGUACGGUGAGUAUUGAAUCGAAACGCAAAAUAUGCACUUAUUGAUUUGUCGAUCUCACAUUAUAUGCAUCUGAUAGGAGAGGUUAUCGUCAGAGGUUGUGGAACAAUCUGAAGGACACUUGUGGUUAAGCAGCAGCAUCAGGUGAGGUGUUCAUGUCAGUCAGUUGGUGGUCAGACUGGCACUUGUUUAAUUUGGAUGGUACAAUUUUCUAUUCACAUUGGUAAAUGCCAAUGGACAAUGACCAGCUUGGAUUCGCAUGUUGAAUUUGGAUGAUACAGGUGAGGAAGAAACUAAAAAAACACUAGUUAUGUGGUCACCUGGAACUCCAGAGUGUUUCUUGGUGCCAUAUAGUCUUGCUUUGCUGCAGUUAUAGACUUUAUAAAUGCCCUGAGCUAUUUUGGCAGCAUCGGUGUCGUUUCAUUGUUGUUUUAGCAGGGGCUUUUGAUAAAAAGAGAAGUGAAAAGAAAAAUAUUACGCACGCCUAGGUUAUGUCAUGAUUGUUAUCGGCUUUGUCGAACUUUGACCUCUGUCUUCUUCAGAUAACUGUAAUGUGAAUUAAUAAUCUCCUUCCACAUUUCCUAGGAUUAUAGAAGUUGGUAUGUUGUCGCAGCUGUGAAGUACUUAUCUUACCAAUUAUAGUGUCGUUACUUAGUUGAGGUGACAAUGUUGGAAUUAUGUGUCCUGCAACUAUAUUCAAAUUACUUGGAAUUGUUAAUAUUCGAAUUGCCUCAUUAUGAAAUUAUACAUGUAUUUAUACAUGGAAUUGCUUUACAUGUUUAGCAUGGAAUUGUUACUUGCUGGAAUGUACUUAAGUAAUAUAUGCUUAAGGAAGCUGGUCAAUUCUCAGUAGAAUAUAAUAUUACUAUUUAUAUUGAAAAUACUACCCGGGAACGCUGAUGAUUUGAAGGAGCUAGAUAGUGUAGUUAGAUUAUAGUCCUAAUGUUGAUCUACAUAAUUAGAGGAAUUUACAUUCUAUUAUGAUGUGUUGCUCACAAGCGCGUGCUCCAGGGACAUAACGGAUAGAAUCUGUUAACAAACAAAUACGAUCGUGGUUGGUAAUUUGAUUUAGACUCUAUCCAGGAAACUAGUUGUAACGACUAGGAAUCUUAUAUGUAUAAGAGGUGGACUCUUUGAAAAGACAGUACAAGAAGGUGCCAUCUCUAGUCCAGAUAUGCGAAUUGUGAGCGGCGCCAUGGAUAAAUAGACCACAAACCCUAAAUUUCUAACAGACAAGACGUUGAAAUUUUAUCUUGUGUUCGGAUAGCAUUAUUUGAAACCGUGAGUUGUCUGUUUCUGUACUGAUGGCACCCCAAAAGUGCUGGUUACUGGGGAGGUGUAUGCGGCAUGCCGAAUCAUUCUUCCUCGGGAGGCCCUAAAGCUUCAACUUGUUGAGAAACUGUCUGCACUCUGCAGUUUGGAACCUUACGGAAGGAUGCUGUGAAUUUCAUGGAUAGUGGGCUUCCCUGAUGGCUGCUCUGCUACUGCUAGCUUACGGAAUGGCUUCUACAACUGAACUGUACUGCAGUCGCUCUUGACUGAGAAUUGUUGGGGCCCGCGGUGUAGGGUGACUGCUUGGCGUUGAGUUGAGCUGCAACGCUGAAUCAAACCCUGGACGACACAAACGAUCUGAUCUAGAUUUGGUUUGAUGCUCGUCCUUUGGGUUGGUACCCAUGACAGGCACGGGUCGCCAGCAGUUUACUAUCAUCCAUGGUUCUUUAGCCCUGUGGUGUUCUACUUAUCUGAAAAACUUCUUGUUUUUGAAAUGUCAACUGGGGUAUAUAUAUUUUUCAAAAACAGGAAGUCAUCAGUUUGUGAUCAUACAGCAGAGGUGAAGAGAGGGGCAGAGGGCCAGGCAGUUACACAUAGAUUACAAUAUACAGACAGCAGCCAGGCGGGGUGUCAGCGAGCAGGGUUGCUAGAAUGAGCUGAAUUGCCUCUUUUUUCUACCGAACCUGAAGAUUUGUGCCUAACAUUGAAAAGGUUCCAUAUGACGAUGCAAUCCAAAUUGCCUUUUCGAUCGACUACUCUCAUAUGUAGUAGGUUAUACCAAUGACAACAACAGCAGAUUUAUAUCCCACAAAAAACAUGCAGCAGCAGUGCAGCUGAAGCUAAAAUAUAUAUGUUGGUUACUGAAGCUAAGUCGUAAGCACUUUUCACGGUGAUGAUCCAGGCUUUUCCUUGUUUCCACAUAAUUACCUGAGUUCAAUGAUCUGCAUUUCUCAGGUAUCGCUUGUUUCAUACAUCGAAUGCUAUUUAUCGGCCUAUCCAUGCAAUUUGAAAAUUCACUGCUGAAUGUCGGUUGUGUUCUGCGAAUAAGUGAAUGGUGGUGGUUAUUUGAAACCUAUGCCCAAUUGUGGUGGUUACUUGCAAUAUACUCCUAGAGCUUAAAGCACACGUUUUGGGCAGUAAGUCAGAUAUAUGCAUUAUAGUUUCUUUCUUGAAAGCUAUGUGUUAUGUGACACUGAUCAGACUACUAGUUCUGGAAACAAAUACAUGUGCAGAUGCCAUGCCAGCUUAUGCAAGUUGGUUAACAUUUUUGAAAAAUGAGUGGCUGUGUGCAUCACACAUAGGCCUGGAUUUAACCUCCUUUCCCGGGGGAAAAGGCAAGUUACUUAAUAGUUACAAUCAGGUUAAGUAACUGAAGAAAUUAAGCAGUUGACCCAAAUGCAGCUUUCAGGCUGCCCCAAGCAACAUUAAACUGGGCUUGUGUAAAAUAUUAGUGCAGUUUAUGGUCAGAUGGCCUUGUCGAGAUCGAUGAUGGAUAUUUUAUUUUGGUUGUAUGUUUCGAUCUAAUCCAUAACUGAUGAUACUACAUGCAACUAGGACACGAGUGAAUAAUCUACUUAAGAGCUGCAUCAUGAAGGGAAAACAAGUAAGCUAAGUACAUGGAUUAGAGCAUCUGCACACAUCUCAAGUGGUUGACUUAAGACUGAUUAACAAGCUUAUGUUGUUUCUUACUGAAGCUAGAGCAGACUUGUAUUUCAAGGAAGCGAGAAUGUAUAUAAGUCUUGCUCACGUCUCCUUCCCCUCUCUUGUACCUAUAACUAUCUAUCUCUCCAUUACCAGAUCAUCAGUAUUUACUUGUAUGACGGCAAAAAAUAAUAACAAGAAAAAUUUCACUGCAGAACCUCCUUCAGGCACAAAAUAAUGACCCGAGGAAUAACAAAGUUGGUUUCAAUGAAAGUAAUUAUCGAAGGAGGUUUCAAUACCCAAUGAAUUUAUGUAUGAUUGACUAAUGGUCCUACCUUUUCCAUAAUAUGUUGCUGGUUUUCCUUGAUAAUUGUUUGGAAAGCGUUGAAUUUAGCAUGUUUUAAUCACAAGUGGCCUUCUGAUCCGUCUGUUAUCAUGUUUAGGGUAGCUUACUGGAAUAAUGAUUGGAGUUCCCUGUAGGUGAUGGAGGACGCAAAACGAGCGCUACGACGGGACGCAGGACUUCUGGAAUGAGUCACAACUAAAGUUUUUCAAGCCAGAAAAAGCUUGGUGCCAUGGAUUCCCCGGCUGGAAGAUGGGACUUGAAUUUGGGAUUGUGUCUAUUCCAUUAGUGGUGUUGUCCUGGUUAAUAGCUGGGUGUUGGCAUCGGCAUGUUCAUUGUAAAACACUGUGUAUUUUCGUGUCUUCGUUGUGUUGGUUGUUCCCCUACUCUGUUGCUCAGCUAGGGUUGCAAGGAGGGAUGCCUUAAAAACUUAAUUCCGUGUCCGUGUUGUGUUGGUGGUGGUUGCGUUUUGGUUGUAAAAACCACUUGGUUUCAUUAAUGAAACUGAUAAAAAAAAGUAAGCAUAAACCUUUCAGUGGAAUAUCCAAAAAAGUCCAGGCCAACUGUUUUGAGAGAACAUUUUGCAAUAAGAAAAUUUAGUAGCUACAAUCAGAAUAGAAAUGUUCUUAUCUGAUUCACAUGUUAUCCAUUUGUUCUCUUGUGUUUAAGUGAGUAAUUGCACCAAUUUCGAACAUACAAUAGGUCGUCAAUGUAGCUCAUAUGAAGUGUGCAAUAAGUAAUGAUCCGUGGUAUGGGAGUAUACUCUUCAUAUUCACAUUGACUACACAAACCAAACUUUAUUAUCAGAUCCACACUGACAAGAUAUGAUCCCAAACACACAACCAAACAUAUAUCAUAACUAUAACAAACAAAUGGACAUGGAUUUUUGAAUUAAUAGAAUAUCCCAGGCUAAAAAUCCACAGAUUACUUGAAAAGGAAAAAAUUGACAAAGCUUGUACAGUUCCUUUCAUAGCUACCCGUAUAUGGGUAGCUACAGCCCACCUAGUUUUUGAACAUAUUAUUGGAUGGUGGCGCCAGAUGUAGUGUCCUGCAAAAAAAAGGUAUAAUCAACAUGGCUACAUACCAAGAAACCAAUCAUUAAGGUACUGAUGGAAAUUUGUCAGGAAAAUGUAACAAUCAUAAUGCCAGAUGACUAAAACUAGCUUUGAAAUUUAUAGGCUUAUUUGUUACAUAACCUUAACUACGUCCAAUUGUCAAUACCAUGACGUUUAAAUUUCUUUCAGCUGGACAAGAUAUACAUGCUAGAAACACGAAGAAAAAUAUAUACAGAUUAAGUAGUUGAAUGUAUGUACUUACAGAAGCUUUGACGUAGAAUGCAUGGAUAUUGAGUUCUUUAAUAGUUUGGAACGUAGGGGGGUUGGUGAGUGCGUAAUACUUGAUGAUCCCACGUGCCAUAGCAAACUCUCCAGUCCCACCCAUAAUGGCCAUCUGGCCUUGGCCUGUUUGAAAAUUGAUCCCCAUCGCUUCGAAUGAUGAUCCAUUGUACCUGAUAUAGUUUUAUAGGGCAAUAUCACAUAUCAUAUGAAACUGGAAAAUCUUUAGUAUUUGAGAUCUUUGUAACAAACCAUAUAUGCUAUAUAACCGGGAAAACUAAAACUUGUACUAGUCCAAAAGUAUAUAAAAAUGACCUAGAGUUCUUCUCGAACACCAUGCUGAAGUAGUUGAACCAGCCUGGACCGGCUACAUCAGCCUGCACUUGCAUGCCUUUGGUACGGGCAACAAUGGUGGCAGUAGCGGGGUUUGGUCCAUCAAUCACAGUCCAGUCGGUAACUGCAGUUAGACCAAACUCUGAUGGUUUGCUGGAGGUAACAAUUGCUACCUGGUUGAUGCCUGGUCCGGCGGCGAUUUGGUGCAAGUACAAGCGCAUGUUAACCUCGGACUCACACUGAAGAACACAGGAUAGGGAUGCAGAUGCCAUGGAUAGAAUGGAAUGCAGGAUUAGGAUCAUGGACAGGACUAAAAGGCUAGGGCUAGCCAUUUCUAGCUAGGAUUUUGGCUGGCUGAAGAAGAUGGUAGCUAGGAGGUGUGUCCGUAAACUGACUCUUUCCUUUGUCGAGUGUGUUAGCUGUGUGAGAGACACUUGAGUCUAGGGUACUAUUUGUAGUGCUCCAGAACUAGCUAGCAUAUUCGUUCCAUAUCCUCUUUUUUCAUUUCUCUUUGGGAUGAUCCAUUUCAUAUCCUUUUUAGUUUCUUUUUUUUUCAACUGUCAUUUCAGUUAGGAUAGACAACUACACAUGUGUGACUGAUUCCUUGUACAUCUAUCAACCCUCGGAGAUCACAAAGGUCAAGUGCCUUUUGAGGAACUACCCUUUUUUCCUUGAAAUACAAUGUGUACAUGGUAAUGCAGCAUUGACAAAGACUAAAAUGAAUUAGACGCCCAUUCUUAUCUUUACAUCUAAUUGUAUCUCCGGAUGAGCAGCAGCCUAGAUUUUCCACCUGGACAACGAGCACACUGUCACUACUCCUACAAUACAAAGUUCAAAUACAAGGAUUCAUCGCCGUUGAAUCUGUGAAUCGAUGCGCCGCUCCCCCGCUCCCCCGCUGGGGAAUCGGGUAAAAGGCCGCUCCCCCGCUCCCUAGGGUUUCCCCGCCGCCGCCGGCGGCUCCCCCGCGCGGAGCCGCCGCCGCGGCGGCCGGAGACCGCCGGAGCCGCCAGCCCCCUCCUCUCCCCGUUCCCCUUCUCCUCCCCCCACCCCUCCUCCGCGCCCCCGUACCCCCGCGCCGCCUCCCCGAGCGAGGCGGCCGGGGGCCCUUCCUCCGUGCGCCUCCAGCCCCUCCCCACGCCCAUCCCUCCUCCCGCCGCCGUCAGCCUACGCCGCCGGUCCUCAGCCGCGUGAUGCUGGCGGCGGUGGGCUUGCCCUUCCCCGCUCGCGGUCCUCCCCUGCUCGGGCGAUGAUGGCCGGAGGCGGUGCGCCUUGGCCGGUGGUGGUCCGGCGUCCUUGUUGGAGGCCGGCGGUGCUCGCCGUGGUGGUGCCGCCUCUUGGCGGCGGGGUGGUCCGGUGGUGCUGGCCGGCUGGGGGCGUGUCCCCGGCCCAGAUCUGGGCCCGUAGGGUCCCUUCCGGGUCCUUGCGGGUUGGCUCCGGCGCGACCGUGACGCUCUCUGUAUGGGGAGGCAGGGGAGCGGCUUGGAUUGGGACAGCGACACAGAUGGUGUUCCAGCUGCUGCGCGGAGGCGGGAGCUGUCCGGGCCUUUGACGGCCCGGCCGGGCCUAUGGGGCCACGGGCCCGGUAGGCUCCUGCCAUGGCGUCCGGUCGGCUACCGUCGUGGACGGUGGAGGUGGGGCCCUCCCGUAUGCCAACGGUGUUGUUGCCCUAGUCCCGGCUCCUCUUCUCCGUUGUGCAGACCAUCUUCGUGGUGCCGUGGUGAGACAGCGUGGGAAGCUUCAUGUCCGUGUUGGCGCAGGGUGGUGGCCGGUCUGGUGGCGAGCUCCGGAGUGCCUGAGGUAGAGGCUGGGAUCGGGAGAAAUCUCUGUUGGCUUGGUCAACACCGACGUGGUGGCGUCUGAGGGUGCCGCCGGACCUUCCUUGAGGGCGUCGGGGCUACCCUUCCUCUCUCCUCGUCGUGUACCGGGGGAAACCCUUGGCAGCAGCGUCGUCAUCGUCGCGUCCCUUCUUGGAGGUGUUGUUGGGUACCGGCACUUCGGAGUCUCGGAGCUUGGUGGGCGAUCUCCGGUGGGCGCAGCGGUCACGAGGCUUCGUCGUUUUUGUCGAUCCACCAUUAUCGGCAUUUGUUUCUUUUCUUUUUUCUCUUUCCAUUCUUUUGGGCAUGUUUGUGCUGCUUCCGCCCCAGCCCCUAUCGUCGGUUGUAUUGGUUGAUUGCUUUGUAAUACAAAGCGGGGGGAAACCCCUUUUCUCAAAUCCAAGGAUUCGUGCUGCUUGUAAGUUAGAUACAUAGUUCAUCAAAUGACAUUUAAUUAUCUGGCUCAGUUUAUAGCUGCGAUUGGAGAUGCAACCCCCCACCCAUGGAACCCAGGUCAAAAGCUUUCCUUUCACCUCUUCUUUCCGCCGCCACCGACGUCGCUGCUCUUGUUGGGGCAGACUUGAUGCCAAAGACAGGAGGAAGCGGCCUUGGCAACAUCGCUGGUCUUGUUGAGGCAGCCUUGAUGCCAAAGACAGGAGGAAGCCGCCACACAACACUUCAGUUUGGUGGUGCUCUUCAAAUACCGGAUCUCGAUUUCCAGAGGGGAAACUCUAGCUCAGGCCUUCAUUCACUGUACGUUGGAAUGGCGAUGUUUCGACAUUGUUCCCUUGUUGAAGACAUUGUCUUGAGAUUGCUCGGAAGUCCUAUUCAGGGUGAAAACUCAUGAUCUAGCCUCUAUUAGAUUGGUGACAACAGUGAUCAUCCCUUUCCUAGAGGUGUCGUUGUUGGAGAUCCUUUCUCAUAGUUCGGGUAGUUCCAUUAGCGCAGGUUGGUGUUGGCCACUGAUGCAUGCCAUUGAUUGCUUCAACAUGAAUUUUGUAUGUCCUGUCUUUUUUUAAUAAUUUGGAUGUGUGCAACCCUGAUGGCUGGAUUAGCACAUUGCUUCUUGUAGAGGCUGCAGGGUGGAUGGGAGUGGGGCCGGGGGCAGUGGUGCCGACCGAAAACUAGCAAAUUUACUAUCAUCUUGAUUAACAUAUUUUUAGCGGUUUGUUCCUUGCAAAAAAAGACUAUCAAUGUAUCAAUUAUGCAAGCUAGUUUAAGACCAUUCACAAAUUAUUAUCAAAUGGUUCUAUUAAUGUCAACUGCAUUCAGGAGUCAUGCAUGACGUCAACCAUGUCAAAUUAUUGAAGGUUUAACCUCUGGCUUAGAAACAAAACUUAUGCGUACCAUAGGCCUGCAAAAAUUAAACCACUGUACAUGACAACCACACAAAUAUAAUACCUAGUGGGCAACCUCCGUACGACAACCACAGAAAUAUAAUACUUUUGACAAGUUUAUCAAUGCUACUUGCGUGUUGUCUAAUAAGUAGUGACCUUCAUAAGGAAUUGCGUCGAUCCAAGGAUAACAUCUUAAUUAGCAUACUACUAAGAUUCGAAGACAUAUACUCUUGAAAGUCAGUUGUGCCAUUAGUCAGAUGUGUAUACAGUAUACAAUCCAAUUGUAUGUAUAUGUAUGUCAGUAUGUGUGCUCAUCAACGGUUCACCAUGUUUUGAAGCAACCCAGUCAUCAGUAUGACCGAGUGUUCAGAUAUAUCCAGUAUACAUGCAUUCACGAGUGCUCUUAUUGCUUGUGUGUAACCCAUGUGGUGUGUUUGUUGAUGUAACUUCAUCAAAUAUGCAUCUAUAAUUGAAGGGAGAACCUAUCCUUCAAUUAUGGAUUAGUCGAUUUUCCUAGCCUACUGUUUAUCUUUUUCGCCCACCCUUCUCCACUUCUUUGACCCGUUCCCAACCGUCUGCCAAGCCGUCUGCUAUCUGUGGUGCCGCCAGCCACGCCGUCCGCCGUCGGUGGUGCUUCCGCGUGUGCCCCGGAGCCCUGCCCUGCUCAGUUUGAGCCGCCAUCUCUGCCAUCCCUCUGCACCCUGGCCAUCCCUACAAACCUCCCCACAGUCCCUGGNNNNNNNNNNNNNNNNNNNNNNNNNNNNNNNNNNNNNNNNNNNNNNNNNNNNNNNNNNNNNNNNNNNNNNNNNNNNNNNNNNNNNNNNNNNNNNNNNNNNNNNNNNNNNNNNNNNNNNNNNNNNNNNNNNNNNNNNNNNNNNNNNNNNNNNNNNNNNNNNNNNNNNNNNNNNNNNNNNNNNNNNNNNNNNNNNNNNNNNNNNNNNNNNNNNNNNNNNNNNNNNNNNNNNNNNNNNNNNNNNNNNNNNNNNNNNNNNNNNNNNNNNNNNNNNNNNNNNNNNNNNNNNNNNNNNNNNNNNNNNNNNNNNNNNNNNNNNNNNNNNNNNNNNNNNNNNNNNNNNNNNNNNNNNNNNNNNNNNNNNNNNNNAACCUGUCAAGCCAUUUUCCUCUCCUCCGUCUGCGACCGUGCGGCUAGUCACGACAUCCCGUCUCGUGCUCGAUGUUGCGGUGUGUUGCUCUCUGCAAACCGAGUUGGAUGACGCGAGGAAAAGAAUCAAGACUGAGUAAUAGAAAUUUCCAUGAUUGAAUAUUUCAGUUUGGCAAAACUUUUCAUACAUUUCUAUGGAUUUUCACUGUCAUAGAAACAAAAAAACGUAACAAGGAAAGAAGACGAUGUCCCUUCAUAGGAUUGCAUGGAGGUAACAGAGAUCCAUGUCUUGAAAACGUGGGAAAGAAAGGAGCACGCAAUUGAAAACAAACACCUCAUAAAACUUACACUAGUGCAUACUACGUCGUAAGAACAUCUACAACCGAACCCAAAUGUGACCCCUACACGUCCGUGGAUGCGUCCACAGACAGCGACCGGUCACCCCUUAUAUCUCCGCGUCCUCUUCCGUCCCCCUCAAAUCCAUGCUAACAACAAAACGUCAUCAACAUUUUAUGUAGAAACAAUUUGAACAUAGCAGUAUAAAAACAUAUAUAUUGGGAAUGGCAAGUUUCAUACAAUCGGACACAAAAUGUCCAUCAUCACCUAGAUAUGAUAAGCCUAAACAAUAGAUAAACUCCUACAUGUAGGCGUUGGCUGUCGGAGGGGAUUUGUCGUUGUCCUCGCUCAUCAUGCCGCUGACAUAGGACAGCAUCGAGGAGAUGAUCCCGACCAGACGCCGGACGGCGCAGGCCUGCUCCUUGGUGAGUCGGGCGGCUCUCGUGAGGUUCCUGAAAUCGUCGAUGUCGAGCCAGAGAGCCUUUGCAGUUUUCCUACGUCGGGCAUCCAUCUCUGCUGAUGUCAAUUUUCAGAGGCUGACAUCACGGAGGAGCUCCUCCUCCAGGUCAACCAGCGUGGACCUACAGAAUUCGCAGACACUGCAGGAGGAACCAGCAUUCUCACAGACCUACUGCCUAGCACGGCCGGCUCGCGCCUCUCAUUUGUACGUCCUCCUUGAAAGCUCGUGGUGCGGGAACAAGCAUCCUGCUCCAACCGGGAGGAGCGGAGCCCAAAGUGGUAGAGUAGGGUCACAAAGGGCGAUGGAUCUGGACCGGUGCAAACCGCGACGGGCUGCAUUGCCUCGUCGGCCAACGGGAUAGAAGGCAGAGCUCAAAUUCCUACCCCUGUCCAUCCAUGACCGGCGGAGCGAGGCGCAUGCAAAGGGCGAGUUCUCCUCAUCAUCCAGAUCCGAUUGCGGCAAGGCAUCCCAGUCGAUGGGCUUCGCCUCGUUGCUGGAUCCGCCACUGAAAUCGCUGCCAGAAUCAACCCAUAUGGUAGCCUGAGAAGAGGAAGCAAUGGAGAUGGGAGCGAACAUGACUGGAGUGGAAGGGGAGAGAAGAAGCCAGCACUGAGCUAUGUUUGCACCCUAGUGGAGAUGGGUCGGGCGAGCACGAACGGGUCCAAUAUGACGGCCGCGUCAGGGAGUGUCGAUCUACCCCAGACGAUAGGGCUAACUAUGUGGGGUCCGGUUGGGUGGCAAUUAUGGGCUGAGUAGUGACCGGGCUGUCCGCCCAUACGUUUGGGAGGAUAUGAGUGCUCCUUUGUACAUGCUUUAAAUCUGGGCAUGAGAAGCCGCACCUGCCGGUGCCUAUGCUGGGCUUGUCCCUCUUAGCUGGAAAGCCCCAAAAAGUCAAGGACCUUAUUUUUGGGAUUUUAUAUGAGAAAUAGGUAUGGUAUUGUAUCAAUUUGUCCUAAAAUAAUUCUUUUAUUAUAUUUAAAUAAAAAUAUAGCCAUUUUCGUGGCCAAGCGAGGUGGGAUAAGACCCGGGCUCGGAAUUUUCAGGCCGGGAUCUAGCAGGUCCGUCAGUUUUAAUCAAUUUAUUUCUUUUUCAGUUCUAAGCUGUUUUAAGUACCUGGUCAGCAAUCUCUAACCAAUGAUAAGAUAACAAGACUAGGCCUACUAUCAAUUUUCAUAGUCAAUUGUGUCCCUGGUCACAUUACUCCAAUCCAUCUAUAUUUAUGCGUGCUCAUAACCAGUUCACCUUGUUUGAAAUAAGCCCAGUUAUGUUUCCUUUUUGCAAGAAAGUACCGCAUUUAUAUUAAAUGACUUCCAACAUCCCGGAAAACAGAUCGUCGACGUGGUCCAGUGCAUCACAGGUGGCAACAAUGAACUGAAAGAAAUUGCGAAAUUUAAGGUAGUUGUUAGUGGCAGGAUCUAGUUUGAAGGUGAUCUAGGAAUGGAUGUUGGUUUUAUGGACGGUAUGGGGGCCUAGAGUUAGGAAAAAGGAUUGAGAGGGUAAUAGAGAGAGCACCAGCUACAGUAUUGAGGGCACCAUGGAGCUGAGAAACUGGGAGAGGUUUAACACCCUCUGGUUCUGAAGAAGAAGAAAAAUAAUACCACAAGCCUGCAAAGUAAACCAACAUAUAGAAUUAAGAAGCAAUUUAACAAUACUUAGUGGGCAAUCUCCGUGACAACCAUCAAAAUAUUGCUAUGCUGUUAAGGAAUUAUUUCUUUGAAUAAGCUUGGUACUAGUUGUAAUAGUUGCAUGUUGUCUAAUAUGUGACGUUAGUAAGGAAUUGCGUCAAGCAAAUUAUAGCAUCUUAAUUAUCAUAUUACCAAGACCUGAAGAUAUAUACAACCUUGAAGCCUUAAGAGCUAGAGCCAUUGCCUAUUUUUUCUUAGAAAUUGGGCCAACCCUGUCGCGUACGGAUUUAUUUAGUAGUAAUUAUUCUGUAUAUUUUCAUGGAUAUAUAGGAAUAGGCAGUGUAUAUGUGGAGUGCACACAAUCUUGUUCAACUUUUCUUUGCUGGAAGUAAGCUGUUUUAAGUACUUGGUCAGUAAUCACAAAUCAAUGAUAAGAUCGUAAGACUGGGCCUACUAAUAUAAUCCCUCCGUCCCAAAAUUCUUGUCUUAUAUUUGUCUAGAUACGGAUGUAUCUAAUACUAAAAUGUGACUUGAUACAACCGUAUUUAGACAAAUCUAAGACAAGAAUUUUGGGACAGGGGAGUACUUUCAAAGUCAACUGCGGCCGCUAGUCAGAUGUGUACCACAAGACAGUUACAUAUAUCAUGCUCAGCACGAGUUCACAUUGUUUUAAAAGCAACCCAGACAUAAGUAUGAGUGUUAGUUCAAACAUAUUUGUAAAAGAACACUCGUUUAUACACUUUAGGAGUUAAUACAUUCAUGAGUGGUUUUUUCAUCAUGUAACUGGCACGGAGUGUUACUGAAUAUAACUUUAUUAUUUAUUACAUUUCUUAGGAUUCUUCCUAUCAUGAAACUAGCGGUACUGCCUGCUCAGUUGCGCGGCAAGAUUUUGAUUUGUCAUUUUAAAUUUGGAAACUAUAUUUUGGCAUUUUAAAUAUUUCUUAACACUUUGUAAAUAUGCAUUCUUGUAAUUACCUAAUUGCGAAUGAGGAAUUCAUCAGCAAAGGAAUGCCAAGAAAUAGUCGGUCCCACAAAAAAGGCUGAAAUUAAGUGUUUUUACUAAAAGACAUUCAAUUAGAACAUAUCAUGUAAGAAGGCCUAAAUUCAUCCAUACAUACGCAUUAAGUAUACUUGUGGGGUUAACAAUUUUAAGCAUGUAUACAUGUACAUCUAUUAUCUAUUAUAUAAUUAAGACAAGAGGCAAACAAGCCAUCACGUUCGUCCACAUAUGAUAAUAUUUUGUACACCGUUUCAUUAGAAUAAUAACGGUUGAGAUUUAAAGAUUCUUACGUAACAUCGUAAAAUAGAUGUGCCAGUACAAUUGAACUGUCAUGUUGUCAUGUUAUAUGCAUGUAUAAGCAUUAGGUAUGUAAAAAGAAGAAAAAAAGAGUAAAAAGACAUAUUGGUUUGUCGCGUUACAUGUACCGUCACGUAAAAGAGAUGGACACAGAAGGGUGCAAAUAACCAUGACGUGCACACAUGUACAUACAUGAAUAAGAGUUCUAGGAAAACUAAAGAUGAAAGUAGGGUCACGUGAGAAUUAGAAAGGGAAACCUAGGGGACGAAACUAGAACGUGAAGGCAGACUUCAACUUGGACACGUACAUGUUCUCAAAAAAAAAAAACUUGGACAUGUGCAUGUAACGGAGAAAAAAGCUUUGCAUGAAGGGUAUUCACUGGAAAAGAAUAUGCAUAUGUAAAUCUACCAACUUACAAGGAAACAUACUAAAAAGUCUAGCGUUCUAACGCAUAGCAUAAAAACCUUAUACUCUAUACUGUUACACAACAAAAAAUCAGCUAUUAGGCUCAAAUUAAAAUUUAACCGGUAGAACUGCACAUGCAAUUCAAACUAAAUAUAUUAUUGGUAAUUAGUCAUUCGCUAAUUUAUGAGAAGACGCUGCAAGACAACAAUAUAUUACCGAUUUUAUAUGAAUAUACACCAAUAGUUUUUUUUAAAAUAUACACCAACAGUUCUUAGCCUUAUAUGGUCAGGCUACAUAAACAAUUAGAGUACGAGGACUUUGUCAAGAACAUUUAGAAGCAUGUGUCGAAAGCCGAUAUCGAUGAUACUGCACUAUCUAUAAAAGGAAUGCACAACAAAUAGAGGUACACAACAUAAAUCUUACAUAUUUAAUUGAUGAUGAAAUGAUUUGGCGUGGUAAGAAUCUAAGAUAGGUGUAAUUGGUCACCUUUCGUCGGGCAUCGGUGGAUGUCGAAAGGAUUUCAACCUAAAAGACACACAUUUCAAGUAUAAUAUUUUUUGUAUUUAAAAAUCACAUAUCAGUGGCAAUGUGGCAUUCGACUUAACAUUUAUGUGUUGGAGGAAAUAGCGACUAACCAAGAGCAGUAGAAAUGUGGAAUUUGAUUAGUGUUAUGGGACAAGCGGCUAGCUUGGUAAGCUACCAACAAAAAAUUGCAAUCAAUGAUUAGUGUUAUGGAAUUAUAUGGCUUAGUAUUGUAAGGUGCUGAUCUCCAUGACAUAGCACACUUGAAAGAAGUAUUGUUAAACUGACGAUUCCAAGGUCUUAUGGCUUUCUCGGAGAUGCACAUUUUGGUCAUACGUUACUAUAUAAUAUAAAAGUUGGUGUUGAAAACAAUACUACAUAACAAUUAGACUCGAAUGAAUGAUAGAGAAUAUUUUACCAAAAGAAGAAAUCAAGCAUUAAUUAAGGAAAAAUCUGUGUCCUGCCUUUUUUUUGUUUUGAAAUCCGGUUAUAUUCAAAUAACUGGGCAGUGGGCACCAUUAGAACUGAACAAGCCCUGGACAGCCCAAGCGAGAAUAUUGUAUCAACUUUAACCAUGAAGUGGCUUUGAUAGUUACCUCACAAUGAGAAGAUGUACAAGCAUAUAAACGUAUAUAUGGAUAUAUGACAUGUAUUUAUAAGAACACAUGUGCAUAAACAGACGGUGUAUUGCUACAAGCCAACAAUUAAUGUUUAGAUUUUAUUGACAAAAAUUCUACAAGAAUAUUUGGUGAAAAGAUAAAUGAAAAUGGAUUUGAGAAGGUGGAAUAGUGAAAGCCACGUAUUAGUACAAAAUCAUAUGGUUUUCCAUGGUGGGACACAUGCCUUGGUUCUGUCUAUCUUUGAUUGCCAUAAUAACCCAGUCUGUACCAACAUCUUUAUACAUAUUACAAAAAUAUACGAUGUGAACUUUGGUGAUGAUUUAUAUAGAUAUAAAAAAAAUGUAAUUGGUUAUAUAAAUAUUUAUAUAAUGACAGAUCAAAUAAAAGAAGAUACAUAGAGAAAUAACAGCACAAAACAUAUAAUAUAAAUAAAGGAAGUCUAGCCGCGCAAACGCGCGGGUCACUAUAUAUAAAAUAGCUGGGCAACUAAGUUUUGGUGAACUUAUUGUGGAAGUACAUGUCGUCCCACGUUAUAUGAAGUGUGUGGUCGUUCUUGUCAUUAAGUAAGGAUACCCAUUCAGAGCAGGAUGCUUUAUGGCUAAGCUCCUAUAUUACUGCCGGCCCAAGUUGAUGACAGAGAAACUCCUGAUCAAACAAGCUGAUAUACGGGAGCACAUCACCUUGUCGAUGCUAUGGAGGAACUUGACGCCGAGACCGCGAUUAGUCAUCGCUUGAUCAAUAUCUGCGAGGAACUUGAGCUGCUACCCAUACUUGGUGACAGACAUGGUGCUCUCCUUGAGCAUGUGGUACUUGACGCUAAGACUGAUGAUGUGUGCGGAGUUAUUGUUGAGGAAGUACUGGUGGAGGCGAUUCCAUGCCGACAAGGCAAUGCCGUCAUUGGACAUCGCAAGUCCAGAAGACCAUCGUCGAUCAUGGUAUAGACCCACAACAUGAUCCUGAUGUCAGCACGCUGCUACUCGGGGUCAUCAAUUUCAAGUUCAGAUGUUGAAUAAUGUGGUUGAGUUCGGAGGCGGGGAGGACGAACCAGAAGAAAUGCACCAUUUAUGGUAGUUGUUGACAACUUGGGUCGAGUUUAAAGGUGAAGUAGGACUGGAUGUUGGUAUUAUGGACGACAAUCGGGCAUGAAGUUUGUAAAAGGGGUUGGGAG
rnacentral:lncRNA from 1 species